AUAGGCCUGAGGUACUGGAAGGUCCUCAGGCCGAAAGGGGCUCUGCCCGCCCGAGGAUGGGCCGGCGGCCGAUUAGGUAGUUGGUGGGGUAACGGCCCACCAAGCCGAAGAUCGGUACGGGCCAUGAGAGUGGGAGCCCGGAGAUGGACACUGAGACACGGGUCCAGGCCCUACGGGGCGCAGCAGGCGCGAAACCUCCGCAAUGCGGGCAACCGCGACGGGGGGACCCCCAGUGCCGUGGCAACGCCACGGCUUUUCCGGAGUGUAAAAAGCUCCGGGAAUAAGGGCUGGGCAAGGCCGGUGGCAGCCGCCGCGGUAAUACCGGCGGCCCGAGUGGUGGCCGCUAUUAUUGGGCCUAAAGCGUCCGUAGCCGGGCCCGUAAGUCCCUGGCGAAAUCCCACGGCUCAACCGUGGGGCUUGCUGGGGAUACUGCGGGCCUUGGGACCGGGAGAGGCCGGGGGUACCCCUGGGGUAGGGGUGAAAUCCUAUAAUCCCAGGGGGACCGCCAGUGGCGAAGGCGCCCGGCUGGAACGGGUCCGACGGUGAGGGACGAAGGCCAGGGGAGCGAACCGGAUUAGAUACCCGGGUAGUCCUGGCUGUAAAGGAUGCGGGCUAGGUGUCGGGCGAGCUUCGAGCUCGCCCGGUGCCG
rnacentral:rRNA from 1 species